GGUUUAACACUGGCUACUACACCACUCUUUCUGUGGCUGAAGAUAAGGCUGAAAUAAAAAGGACUAUGGUUUAUUCUGUUAACUUGUGCUUAUUAAAAUCUCAAGUUAUUCCUCAAGCAGUCUCAUCUGGUAACAACUGUUAAUAAAAAGUGGGGUAAAUGUCCAGAAGAGAAGGCACUCACUCUUCAAUAACUUGAAAUAAGUAUUUGGAGCUUAAUGACAUCUAAAGAAUAGUGCUAUCCAUGAACUUCUUCCUUAGAGUAUCAGACUAUAGGCAAGGAAUGAAAGGCUGUGGAGAAAAAAAAAAUUCUCUGGGGGAGCCUUUCCCCUGAUCGCCGCUUUUGAAGUGAAGGGGCCCGGCCAUUGUUGUUCACCUCGCGGCCCAUACGGCUGAAGAAAGCCUGGGCUUUUGAUGGGCUGAGAACCGCCUCAGCAAUGAGCACCACGUCGGGCCGCGCGGCCUGCGGGCAGCAUAUGUCUCGGGGCGCCCGGGCACCGUCUGGCGGGCGGGGCGGCAGGCCCGGCGGGAAGGGGGCUCCGCCUCGGGAUCCGCCUGGGAGGCAGGGACCAGACACCAGGCCGCACCCUGUAGCAGCGCCUCCCGGGGCCCCAAGGCCUCCGGCCCGAGGUCUCGGUUUCUCGCGCCCACUUCGUGGCUCCACGCAGGGGCUCCAUCGUCUGUGGUUAAUCAGUACUUGUGACCCGGAGCCCAGCCCUUUAGAGGUGAGGGUGGGGAAGGCAGGGGUCUCGCGAGCUCACCAGCCACGGUGGUUGGAAGUCUUUACUUUUAAACCACUGGAACCGAGCAGCUAAGGUGGCCGGCUUAGAGCUUGAGGAGUCUGAGAGGGCGGACCCCUCCGAGAGGGGCAUCCGUGCCCACGCAGUUAAGAUUUUUCGCCUGUGACUCCACCCGGCGCAGCGCGACCGGGCUCCGGGCGGGGGUGAGGGCACCAGCCGAGGGUAGCAGUCCCUCAGCAGCACGCCGGCAGGGCAGUUUCUCCAGCGUGCGCGGCGUCCCGCCUCGCAGUUCUGAACCCUGGACAGAACAUUAGCAUCAGGUCACCUUUUCCAAAAACUUGGUGCACGCAUUUAAUUAAGUUUACUUUCCGUGCCCUCGGUAUGAACUUUUCCCACCUCGAUUCACAUCCCGCGACGUCCCCCCCACCCACCGCACCCCGCCCCGCCUGCCCGCCCGCCAGCCCCAGGCCUCUCCGCUCUAAAGUCAUCAGCCGGAGGGUCAGCUUUCGGUUCCCCGCCUGGUCCCCAACCCCCGCCACCCACCCCGCCCCCCAACUACCAAAAGAUCCGGGUUACCCGCCCCAUUAAUACACUAGCCAGGCAUAACAAAGGGAAGCGCGUGUCGGCAGAAGGCGGUGUGACUCCAGGCAAAGGUGAGGAAACCUGGCCGGUGCCCCGCACUGCGAGACGGCUCAGUGCAGUUUGAGCUCUCGAAUCGGCCUCCACCUAGGCAAAAUCGGUGAAAGACGCACUGGACAGAGCUGAUGUUGGGUUUGGCGUCUGCAGCCGGGCUAUGGGAGUGAAGAAAGCCCAAGGCUCCCAGGUGGGACUGGGAGCUGGGGGAACGUUCCAAACACGCACCCGUCACCUGCAUCGGGCAGGGAAAAUCACAGCUGAGUGUAGCGCUAGAGGGGAGCCUCCCUCCUCCCUCGUGCAUAAUGGGUCCUCUAGAUUAAGUACAUAAACGAAACAAACCACCACAAACCCCUUACAUUUUUCUCAUAAGUUGCUUAUGUUUUAUGUUUUAAAAUAACCAUUCUUUGGUGUGAGAGAAAACAAACAAACAAACAAACAAACAAACAAAAACUGACCUGGGAUAUGAUUAGACAAGCAGAGGAGUAACUAAAAUUUGGGGAGAGAAGGGAAAGAAACGAAAUGCCCGUUGAUUACAAUGUUCCCUAUUUCCAAGCAGGUCUUUGGUGGUGGUGGUGGGGUUUUUUUUUUGGUUUUUUGUUUUUUUGGUUUUUUGUUUGUUUGUUUGUUUUUGGCGGGAGGCGCGUAUUUCCAGGUUGUUCUUCUGGGUUUCAGGGAUUUUUCUUAAAAAGCCCCCGAUGUAGUCUUGAGGAAAGAGGUAGAAAAUCAACCCAAGGAAACAUCACACUUAGAACACCCAGUCAGGCCUGCCCUAGUGCUGGUGGUCCUGAACUCCAUCUUGAUGUGACUUGACCAGCAUUCCACCUGAAUUCUGAAGUUCUCAACCACCUAUUCCACUUAAGCCCUUUUCUUCCCAGAUUUUGAGGCAGAAUAUUCUUCUUGUAUACUCUACAUUGAGUAGAACAUAGAGAACCCCAAAAUAUCAUGAAGUGGCAUCUAGAAGGAGGGAUGCUUCUCACUUUCUGGGACUACAAAGGGGAAGUUUAUGCUCACCAUGAGCUUUGCUCUUACACUGUGUAGUCACAGCUGACAUAACUGGAGAAAUGAGGAAGCUAGAAAAAAGAAAGGUAGCAAGUGAGGAUUUCCCCCUUGUCAGAUUAAAAAAAAAAAUGCUUAUAGUAGGAAAAUGCAUGCCUUUUACAAGUUAAAGUUGAAAUGGAUGGGUAUUUUCCAGCUCCCUAUUGCUUGCUAGAAUGACGACUGGAGGGGGCAGUGGGAAGGUGAGUGCUGCAGUCUGAGCUGUCCAAAGUUCAAUGAACCUAGCUUGACCCGGAGCUAAAAGAGAAACACCAAUGAAACUAUUAUGGUCUUAAAUUGCUCGGAAGUGGCGUCGUCACUGGAUCGGAGAGCCUUGGAAGCUUUGCACUACAAGAUCUGCAAGGAAGGUUUUUUCUUCUCCCCUCCCUCCUUUCCCAUCCGGAGACCCCUCCCCCAUCUCGAGGGAAAAUCCUCAAUGAAGCGAACCCGGUGGACCGCGGCUGAGCGGUCAGCAUCCCCUUUUCGUCCUCAUCUGCAGGAACGAGUGUCUGAGAUGAAGAAAUAGAGAAAUUUGAAGACGAAAAGGGGUGUGGGCGGGGGCCAGGGAAGGCGGCGCGCUCGAGGAGGGUCGUCGCAGCACUCCCUUGGAACCACAGAUGUUUUCCUCCUGGCCCUGGGGCGCGGCGCCCCAGCCCCAGGCGUUGCGGCGUUUGUGUGUCCGGGUUUCCGAGGAAGGGAUUACGCAGCGGGAGCCGCCGCGGCAACGCGGGCGUUGGGCCGCGGGAGCGGUAAAGCGACGCCUGGCCUUCUUUGUUGACUUUUAGGUCUCGGGCUCGACAGAAGAUUUAUUCGCUAGGAGGGGAAAAUGCCCAAACAAUACAGAACUAACUGCACUUGUCACCCCGAGAUGCCUGUGGUCCUGCUCUGUCCCUCUUCCCCGGCAACCGCCCGCCCGGGCCCCCGGGGGCGUCCUUCCUAACGCGCCGGGCGCAGGUCGCCCAGAUGCGGCAGGACGCGCUCAAGGUGUCCGGAGGUGCUUUACUGCUCAGAGGUGGCAGAAAAGCGCGCGAGAAGCCCACGAAACCAGGUCCCUGCGACCCACCAUGCUAGCUUUUCAGGCAGGUUUCCAAAGUGGCCUCUGCCAGCAACUUGCGGCGCCUCGCCCCCUGCAAGCCCAGAAAAAGUCUCAGCCAAGUAAGACAGAACGAGCUGAGGCCCAUUUAAGCCUAAUUGGUGGAGGCAAGACACUGAAAUUGCUAAUAUGUUAGAGAGGCAAGGGAACAUCACCGAGGGGAACGCAAAAGUUACACGAUAUAGACUCAGUGGGGCUGGUAAAAUUCCUCGGCCCAAACUCACGGCCUUUUGUUACAUUUGGAAUUCGAAUUUGCCAACGGGUUUGUUUACCCUGUAUAGAAACAUAAAUAACUAUUGAGAUUGAAAGCUUUUUCCUCUCUUUGGGAUUUUAAUGUCUUUCCAAAAAGCUUCCAAAUUAGAUUUUUAAAUUAUUCAAACAAGUUAUUUCCCUCUCCUCCUUUCAUUAGCUGAAGGGGGGGGGGAUUUCUGGAUUUUUCUCAAGUGCUACAUGCCACCCCUUCUCUCAUCUGGGGAGGCAAUUACGCGAUAAUUAAGGGACUCACACAGCUCUUUUUAUCUUGUCCGCAGUGUGGAGUGGGGCGAUCAAAGUAAAGGCUGGCCAAGUUCAAGCCCCAGCGAGGAUGGAGUUCAUACACAAGGGCUCAGGCAGGCUAGCCUCUGCUUGGACUGGUGUUGUUAUUGUUGAUGUCAAUCCGAACAAGACUUACAAAGAAAUAGGUGGACUGGAAAGUGAGCCUGCUAUCAAAGGAGAUUAAUGAUUUUGUGAUCUCAAGCAACUGUAGGGGUGUGAAGUUGCAUUUAAAAGCUUCUUAGAAGGCAAACAAAUCAUCAGCUUUAAGUUCUCAGGAAUGGUAUUUUUAGAAACAAUAUUUUAAAAAGUAUCUUCACAAGAUACAAAAUAGCAGCUACCCUGAAAUGUCCUGGUGGCACAAAGCUUCCCCUGCAGGAGUAAUUUAACUAGAUUCCUUGGCCCCUUCCAAAGCUACCAGGAUGGUUAAGUUUUGUUUCUUUUUUAAUGGGGGUGGGAGGGGGUCAGGAUUCUCUGUUGUAGACAACUUAAUUUUAUCAGCCACAUCUGAUAUUUUAUUCUCACUAGAAUACUUCUCAGAUAAAGGAAAAUUAGACAUUAGGGAAGGGGAAAUGUAGUUAUAUUAAUAAAUUUGAUUUCAUUGUGGACAGACUCAAAGGAAACAGAGAAGAUUUAAGCUCAUGUUAAAAAAUUAAACACUACUGGGAGGGAAUAAUUAGUCUUAAAAAUCUCAAUUCUUAGUAUAUUAGAUCAAUUUAUCUACCCACUUUUAUUGGAUUUCUUUGGCUUCUUUUUACUAGCUUCCUGGUCGUUUAAUAAACAAAACAAUUUUGUUUUA